GCCUGGGUGGCUCAGUCAGUUAAACUUCUGACUUCGGCUCAGGUCAUGAUCUCAUGGUUUGUGGGUUCAAGCCCUGCCUCAGGCU
rnacentral:tRNA from 1 species